AACAUAAUUCUCUUCUCAACUACUUCCUGGAGGACAUUCGUGCCAUGCUGACUCUCUCUAACUCUGAAAAUGAAUCAGACGAUGAGGAAAUCCCUGAUUUAGCAUCAGUAGAACAUGCCUGACUCUCCUCCACCAGUCAUACAAGGAGAAUGGUGUAAUGCCUCCCAUCAAAAAGAGAGCUGGCCCAAGCAAGCACAGGUUACACCUGAAGCAUGAGGACUUGCAGCGAGUGGUGAACUUGAUCAACAACAACGCAGAGGAUAAUGCAAUAGUGUUACCAGGACGCCACCCAGGACACAAACACUUUAGUGGAAAGCUGCUGCAAUCCCAUGUGACAAAAGCAGCAGUGUGGCGUCUCUACAAGGAAUUGAUGGCAACACUUGCUGGUUUGACUGGAGGAUGGUACGGUGCUGGUGGAAAGCUAUGGUUGGCAGCAACACCCUACUCAGUACUGCAGGUCAUUGUCACAGAUCAAGCAGUACAAUCACUUCAGGUGAAUAUCAUUUUCAUUGCAUGAUAUUAUUUUUUAUCUAAACUUAGUGGAAUAGGGUUUGUCAUUAUGGGGUAUUGUGUGUAUAUUGAUGAAGAAAAAAUAAUUUAAUCAAUUUUAGAAUAAGACUGUAACCUAACAAAAGGUCAAAGGGACUGAAUACUUUCCGAAGGCAUUGUAUUUACCACUAUUGUCAGGAUUUGGCCAGGGUUGUUCCGGGUUUUGGUCACUAGAUGCCCCCAUUGUGCUUUUUGACCUUAUGUUUUUUCCCUUGAUUCCCAUUAUUAUUUGCACCUGUGCCUCGUUUCCCCUGAUUGUAUUUAAACCCUUAGUUUCCCUCAGUUCUGUGCUCUGUGUUUGUAUGUUAGCACCCAGCCCUAGUGUUCUGUGUAUUCUUGUCGAUUCCGGUGGACGCUCUUGUGGAAUUCUGUUUUUGUUUUUUGAGUAUCUCUUGAGGCUUUUUUGUGCUAU